UACGUAGGGGGCAAGCGUUAUCCGGAUUUACUGGGUGUAAAGGGGGCGCAGACGGCGAUGCAAGCCAGGAGUGAAAGCCCGGGGCCCAACCCCGGGACUGCUCUUGGAACUGCGUGGCUGGAGUGCAGGAGGGGCAGGCGGAAUUCCUGGUGUAGCGGUGAAAUGCGUAGAUAUCAGGAGGAACACCGGUGGCGAAGGCGGGUCUCUGGGCAGUAACUGACGCUGAGGAGCGAAAGCGUGGGGAGCGAACAGG
rnacentral:rRNA from 1 species